GUGAACGCUGGCGGUGUGCCUAAGACAUGCAAGUCGAACGGGAUUUGUGGUCUUCACUAAGGAGGUUCUCUUCUCUUUAGUGAAGAUCGCCAGUUCAGUGGCAAACGGGUGAGUAUAAAAUAGGAACAUGCUUCGAAGCGGGACAUAGCCCACCGAAAGGUGGGGUAAUUUCCCAUAUGUCCGCCAAUUGGCGGAUGAAAGACGCAAGUCACUACGAAAAUGGCCUAUUUACUACCAGCUUGUUGGUAAGGUAACGGCUUACCAAGGCGAUGACGGUUACCGGCUCUUAGCGGAGAGUCCGGCACAAUGGGACUGAGACACGGCCCAUACACCUACGGGUGGCAGCAGUUAGGAAUUUUGCGCAAUGGACGAAAGUCUGACGCAGCGACACCGCGUGGAGGAUGAAGACCUUAGGGUUGUAAACUCCUUUUUAGCGGCCAUGAAGGCCACUAGAAUAAGUAGCUACUAACUACGU
rnacentral:rRNA from 1 species